rnacentral:rRNA from 1 species
CCUACGGGAGGCAGCAGUGAGGAAUAUUGGUCAAUGGACGAGAGUCUGAACCAGCCAAGUAGCGUGAAGGAUUACUGCCCUAUGGGUUGUAAACUUCUUUUAUAUGGGAAUAAAAUGUUCCCCGUGUGGGAUUUUGUAUGUACCAUAUGAAUCAGGAUCGGCUAACUCCGUGCCAGCAGCCGCGGUAAUACUGAGGAUCCGAGCGUUAUCCGGAUUUAUUGGGUUUUAAGGGUGCGUAGGCGGGCUGUUCAGUCAGCGGUAAAAGCCCGGGGCUCAACCCCGGCGAGCCGUUGAAACUGGCUGUCUUGAGAUGUCGAGAGGUAUGAGGAAUGCGCAGUGGAGCGGUGAAAUGCUUAGAUAUUGCGCAGAACGCCGAUGGCGAAGGCAGCAUACCGGCGGCGAUCUGACGCUGAGGCACGAAAGCGUGGGUAUCGAACAGGAUUAGAUACCCCAGUAGUC